UCCAAGUUUCCAAACAGUACCCAAAUGUAUUUGAGUUUUAAUAAUAUAGAUUUAACUUUUAAUUGAAACAUUUUGAUCAAUUUAAUCGUUAUACACUAUAUUUGUGACAAAAAAAAACUAGCUUUAUCCAAAGGUAUUUCUGUUUUUAAUAUCACGCUGCAACCCAAAUUCUCUUUUGAUUUCCAACUUACUGUAAGAUAUUUGAUAAUAUUCUAAGGAGAAAAUUUUGUUGAGUAAACUAAAAAGAAAAAGAAGAAUCACAAUGGAAAAAAAAAAGGAAAAAGGAAACAAAAAUUCAAAUGUCGAAUAGAAAAGGAAAACCUUAAAAGAUAUAUUCUUAUAUAUACUAACUAGGUGUUCUGCCU
rnacentral:lncRNA from 1 species